rnacentral:rRNA from 1 species
UACGUAGGGUGCGAGCGUUGUCCGGAAUUAUUGGGCGUAAAGAGCUUGUAGGCGGUCUGUCGCGUCUGCUGUGAAAAUCCGGGGCUCAACCCCGGACUUGCAGUGGGUACGGGCAGACUAGAGUGUGGUAGGGGAGACUGGAAUUCCGUGGUGUAGCGGUGAAAUGCGCAGAUAUCGAGGAGGAACACCGGAUGGCGAAGGCAGGUCUCUGGGCCACUA